GCUAAUCAAGCCUGGAGAUAGCUGGUUCUCCGCGAAAUCUAUUUAGGUAGAGCGUCAUGUAUCACUUCAGGGGGUAGAGCACUGUCUCGGCUAGGGGGUCAUCCCGACUUACCAAUCCGAUGCAAACUCCGAAUACCUGAAAGUGCAAUCAUGGCAGACAGACGGCGGGUGCUAACGUCCGUCGUCAAAAGGGAAACAACCCAGACCGCCAGCUAAGGUCCCGAAAUAACAGUUAAGUGGGAAACGAUGUGGGAAGGCAUAGACAGCUAGGAGGUUGGCUUAGAAGCAGCCACCCUUUAAAGAAAGCGUAACAGCUCACUAGUCGAGUCAGCCCGUGCGGAAGAUUUAACGGGGCUCAAACUGUUUACCGAAGCUGCGGGUGUGCGCGCGUUCGCGCGUGUACGCGGUAGCGGAGCGUUCUGUAAGCCUGCGAAGGUGUGCUGUAAGGCACGCUGGAGGUAUCAGAAGUGCGAAUGCUGACAUGAGUAACGAUAAGGGGGGUGAAAAACCCCCCCGCCGGAAGACCAAGGUUUCCUGCGCAACGCUAAUCGGCGCAGGGUAAGUCGGCCCCUAAGGCGAGGGCGAAAGCCGUAGUCGAUGGGAAACAGGUUAAUAUUCCUGUACUUGUAAUUAUUGCGAUGGAGGGACGGAGUAGGCUAGGCUAGCGCAGCGAUGGUUGUCUGCGUUUAAGCGUGUAGGCCGGGGAUUUAGGUAAAUCCGGAUCCCUCUCUUUAAUUAGAGAAGGCUGAGACGUUAUGACGAACUGGGUCAACGUACCCGGGAAGUAGUUGAUGCCAUGCUUUCAGGAAAAGCUUCUAAGCUCUAGAUAAUUACGAACCGUACCCCAAACCGACACAGGUGGUCAGGUAGAGAAUACCAAGGCGCUUGAGAGAACUCGGGUGAAGGAACUAGGCAAAAUAGCACCGUAACUUCGGGAGAAGGUGCGCCGCAGACGGUGAUCGGAUUUGCUCCGUAAGCUGUCUACGGUCGAAGAUACCAGGUGGCUGCGACUGUUUACUAAAAACACAGCACUCUGCAAACACGUAAGUGGACGUAUAGGGUGUGACGCCUGCCCGGUGCUUGAAGGUUAAUUGAUUGGGUUAGCCCUCUUUUCGAAGAGAGCGAAGCUCAUGAUCGAAGCCCAAGUAAACGGCGGCCGUAACUAUAACGGUCCUAAGGUAGCGAAAUUCCUUGUCGGGUAAGUUCCGACCUGCACGAAUGGCGUAACGACGGCCACACUGUCUCCACCCGAGACUCAGUGAAAUUGAAUUUGCGGUUAAGAUGCCGUAUACCCGCGGCUAGACGGAAAGACCCCGUGAACCUUUACUACAGCUUUACACUGGACUUUGAUCUUAUCUGUGUAGGAUAGGUGGGAGACUUUGAAACGUGGACGCCAGUUUGCGUGGAGUCAACCUUGAAAUACCACCCUGAUGAUAUUGAGGUUCUAACUUAGGCCCGUUAUCCGGGUUGAGGACAGUGUAUGGUGGGUAGUUUGACUGGGGCGGUCUCCUCCCAAAGAGUAACGGAGGAGCGCGAAGGUACCCUCAGCAUGGUCGGAAAUCAUGCAAUGAGUGCAAUAGCAUAAGGGUGCUUGACUGCGAGACAGACACGUCGAGCAGGUACGAAAGUAGGUUAUAGUGAUCCGGUGGUUCUGCAUGGAAGGGCCAUCGCUCAACGGAUAAAAGGUACUCCGGGGAUAACAGGCUGAUACCGCCCAAGAGUUCACAUCGACGGCGGUGUUUGGCACCUCGAUGUCGGCUCAUCACAUCCUGGGGCUGUAUCCGGUCCCAAGGGUAUGGCUGUUCGCCAUUUAAAGUGGUACGCGAGCUGGGUUUAGAACGUCGUGAGACAGUUCGGUCCCUAUC
rnacentral:rRNA from 1 species